CGAGGCGGCCUUCUGGACUGACACUGACACUGAGGUGCGAAAGCGUGGGUAGCAAACAGGAUUAGAUACCCUGGUAGUCCACGCCGUAAACGAUGUCUACCAGCCGUUGGGUGCCUAGCGCACUUUGUGGCGAAGUUAACGCGAUAAGUCGACCGCCUGGGGAGUACGGCCGCAAGGUUAAAACUCAAAUGAAUUGACGGGGGCCCGCACAAGCGGUGGAGCAUGUGGUUUAAUUCGAUGCAACGCGAAGAACCUUACCUACUCUUGACAUCCUGCGAAUUUGGUAGAGAUACCUUAGUGCCUUCGGGAACGCAGAGACAGGUGCUGCAUGGCUGUCGUCAGCUCGUGUUGUGAAAUGUUGGGUUAAGUCCCGUAACGAGCGCAACCCUUGUCCUUAUUUGCCAGCGCGUAAUGGCGGGAACUCUAAGGAGACUGCCGGUGACAAACCGGAGGAAGGUGGGGACGACGUCAAGUCAUCAUGGCCCUUUACGAGUAGGGCUACACACGUGCUACAAUGGUCGGUACAAAGGGUUGCCAACUCGCGAGAGUGAGCCAAUCCCGAAAAGCCGAUCUCAGUCCGGAUCGGAGUCUGCAACUCGACUCCGUGAAGUCGGAAUCGCUAGUAAUCGUGGAUCAGAAUGCCACGGUGAAUACGUUUCCCGGGCCUUGUUACACACCGCCCGUCACACCCAUGGGAAGUGGACUGCACCAGAAAGUGGGUUAGCCUAACUGCUAAGAAGGGCGAUCAUCCACGGUGUGGUUUCAUGAACUGGGGUGAAAGUCCGUAA
rnacentral:rRNA from 1 species